GAUGAAGUACGCAGCGAAAUGCGAUAAGUAGUGUGAAUUGCAGAAUUCAGUGAAUCAUCGAAUCUUUGAACGCACAUUGCGCCCCUUGGUAUUCCAUGGGGCAUGCCUGUUCGAGCGUCAUUUGUACCUUCAAGCUCUGCUUGGUGUUGGGUGUUUGUCUCGCCUCUGCGUGUAGACUCGCCUUAAAACAAUUGGCAGCCGGCGUAUUGAUUUCGGAGCGCAGUACAUCUCGCGCUUUGCACUCAUAACGACGACGUCCAAAAGUACAUUUUUACACUCUUGACCUCGGAUCAGGUAGGGAUACCCGCUGAACUUAAGCAUAUCAAUAAGCGGAGGA
rnacentral:misc_RNA from 1 species